rnacentral:rRNA from 1 species
AUACGGAGGGUGCAAGCGUUACUCGGAAUCACUGGGCGUAAAGCGCGCGCAGGCGGCUAUUUAAGUUGGAUGUGAAAGCCUACGGCUCAACCGUAGAACUGCAUCCAAAACUAUUUAGCUAGAGUGUGGGAGAGGAAGAUGGAAUUAGUUGUGUAGGGGUAAAAUCCGUAGAGAUAACUAGGAAUACCAAAAGCGAAGGCAAUCUUCUGGAACACUACUGAUGCUGAGGCGCGAAAGCGUGGGGAGCAAACAGGAUUAGAUACCCUAGUAGUCC